rnacentral:lncRNA from 1 species
UGGUUUGGACUGGCCUUGUCAUGUGGAAUAACUUGCCAGGAGCUUAUGCUUGGGACAGCCCCCACAGGCUUAUAUGUGGAAGAAUAUGAUCCGAGAAAGAUCAUGAAGAAUCUGAUCCGAGAAAGAUCAUGAAUGAUUUGAUCCGAGAAAGAUCAUGGCCACUUUGAUCCGAGAAAGAUUAUGAAUAUUUCGAUCCGAGGAAGAUCACAGAAAUCGAUCCGAAUAAAAGAUCGUUGCAUGAUCCUGGUAGUCCAAAGCCAAAGCCAAAGCCAAAGCCAAAGCUUAAGCUAAAGC